rnacentral:rRNA from 1 species
UACGUAGGGUGCAAGCGUUGUCCGGAAUUAUUGGGCGUAAAGAGCUCGUAGGCGGUUUGUCGCGUCUGCUGUGAAAACUCGGGGCUUAACUCCGGGCCUGCAGUGGGUACGGGCAGACUAGAGUGCGGUAGGGGAGACUGGAAUUCCUGGUGUAGCGGUGAAAUGCGCAGAUAUCGGAAGGAACAUCAGUGGCGAAAGCGACUUCCUGGACCAGUACCGACGUUCAGGCACGAAAGCGUGGGGAGCAAACAGG